GUCGAACGGCAGCGCGGACUUCGGUCUGGCGGCGAGUGGCGAACGGGUGAGUAAUAUAUCGGAACGUACCCAGUAGCGGGGGAUAACUACUCGAAAGAGUAGCUAAUACCGCAUACGCCCUACGGGGGAAAGGGGGGGAUCGCAAGACCUCUCACUAUUGGAGCGGCCGAUAUCGGAUUAGCUAGUUGGUGGGGUAAAGGCCUACCAAGGCGACGAUCCGUAGCUGGUUUGAGAGGACGACCAGCCACACUGGGACUGAGACACGGCCCAGACUCCUACGGGAGGCAGCAGUGGGGAAUUUUGGACAAUGGGGGAAACCCUGAUCCAGCCAUCCCGCGUGUGCGAUGAAGGCCUUCGGGUUGUAAAGCACUUUUGGCAGGAAAGAAAUCGCACGGGUUAAUACCUUGUGUGGAUGACGGUACCUGCAGAAUAAGCACCGGCUAACUACGUGCCAGCAGCCGCGGUAAUACGUAGGGUGCAAGCGUUAAUCGGAAUUACUGGGCGUAAAGCGUGCGCAGGCGGUUCGGAAAGAAAGGUGUGAAAUCCCAGGGCUUAACCUUGGAACUGCAUUUUUAACUACCGGGCUAGAGUAUGUCAGAGGGGGGUGGAAUUCCGCGUGUAGCAGUGAAAUGCGUAGAUAUGCGGAGGAACACCGAUGGCGAAGGCAGCCCCCUGGGAUAAUACUGACGCUCAUGCACGAAAGCGUGGGGAGUAAACA
rnacentral:rRNA from 1 species